CACCGGAGGCUCGAGUGGUGGCCACUUUUAUUGGGUCUAAAGCGUCCGUAGCCGGCUUGGCAAGUCCCCUGGGAAAUCUGGCGGCUUAACCGUCAGGCGUCCAGAGGAUACUGCCAGGCUUGGGACCGGGAGAGGUGAGAGGUACCUCAGGGGUAGGGGUGAAAUCUUGUGAUCCCUGAGGGACCACCAGUGGCGAAGGCGUCUCACUAGAACGGGUCCGACGGUCAGGGACGAAAGCUGGGGGCACGAACCGU
rnacentral:rRNA from 1 species